UACGGAGGGGACUAGCGUUGUUCGGAAUUACUGGGCGUAAAGCGCACGUAGGCGGAUUGGUCAGUUAGGGGUGAAAGCCCGGGGCUCAACCCCGGAGGGUCAGCUGAUACUGGCAGACUAGAGUACAGAAGAGGUAGCUGGAAUUCCAGGUGUAGCGGUGAAAUGCGUAGAUAUCUGGAGGAAUACCGGUGGCGAAGCGGCAUCCUGGACCGACAUUGACGCUGAACGGCGAAAAGCUAGGGGAGCAAACGGG
rnacentral:rRNA from 1 species